rnacentral:lncRNA from 1 species
GGUGAAUGCUGGCCUCAUGGACGUGGCACAUGGACACACAAAGGAAUCUUUAUAUUUAUAGGUAAAAGCUGUGCAUAGGGUGUAGUGACAGCCCAAGAAGCCACCCACCCCCAAAGGAUUCACCUUUGUGAUGUUUCCAGGAUGCCUCGAAUGACCUUUUUCUGCUCCUCCUGCAGGCUUCUCCUGGUAGAUCCCAUUGCAGUCUCCACCUUCCCCUGGGGUUUUGGUCUGUGGCUCCUAUGAUUGCUGAUGGAGGAUGGGAGGAGGGGCCAGCACCCUCAGCCGUCCCUGUAGAGUGCAGUUCCUGGGCCACCGGCUUGGCAGCAUUCACCUUAUGCCCCAGCUCAGAUCAGCGGGAGGAAAAGUCUGUGCCACAAGGCCUACUGCUAUGCCAAUCUCCACCAGCAGAGGGCACCCCAGAUUCGCGUGAGCAGGAGGCUGUAUCUCUGCUCUGAACCCUACAACUCGCCAAAGAACUCUGGGACCAGCAGCGCCUAGUACAAGUCCAUAACGGCCAUUUGGCUAUAAGCCAAAGGUGCUUUGUUAUUAGAACUUGGAAGUUUAAAGACAAGACACUCCUACAAACCAGAGGCAGCCCUCCGGAGUUUCCUCCCAGGUGUUUCUCACUUGUUUUCCUUUUAUCCCUGGUUCCUCAUAGAUGCAUCUUGGUUUAGCCAGGCCCCCACUGCUGACUGCCUAGCCUGCAUGUCCUCUCUACACAAACAUGCUAUGAUGAUUGCCUCACAUUAUAGUUCUGUGUGUGCUGCCAGCAGCAUCGGGAACCCUGUUGUC